UACGUAGGUGACAAGCGUUGUCCGGAUUUACUGGGCGUAAAGAGCGCGCAGGCGGUCGUUCAAGUCGCGUGUGAAAGCCCCCGGCUCAACUGGGGAGGGUCACGCGAUACUGAUCGACUCGAAGGCAGGAGAGGGUAGUGGAAUUCCCGGUGUAGUGGUGAAAUGCGUAGAUAUCGGGAGGAACACCAGUGGCGAAGGCGACUACCUGGCCUGUUCUUGACGCUGAGGCGCGAAAGCUAGGGUAGCAAACGGG
rnacentral:rRNA from 1 species